UCCUUAAGGGACUUCUGAGAUUACUGCCAUCAGUUCUCCAACUCCUUGGCCUCUUCUCUUACUAUAGUUGUAUUUGUGGAAAGGUUAUAGUGUGACUGUUAGGACAACAUGAUUGACAGCCACAAAGUCUAAGAGGCCUCUAAGCUGCUAAUAGCCAUUAAGGGUCUGAAGAUACCUACAGUGCCACUGACUAAUCUUGGGAGACAGAAUAUUAAGCAAGUUAGAUAGAAAUGACACUGUUCAUAUGUGUAACUAAUAAAAAAUCUCACACAUUAUUCAAAAUUUUUAAAAUUAAAUAAGAAUUAAUUUCUAAUUCUUUUCAAAUUAUAGCUUGGGCAAAACAAACAAUCAAGCAUAAGAAGCUCAGAAGAUUUCCAUUUAAAUAGUUUCAGUAAUCCUCCAAGACAAUAUCAGAAAAUAAUGAAAAGGCUCAUUAAAAGAUAUGUACUGCAAGCCCAGAUAGAUAAAGAGAGUGACGAGGUUAACGAAGGGGAACUGAAGGAAAUUAAGCAGGACAUCUCCAGUCUCCGCUACGAACUCCUAGAAGAAAAAUCUCAGAAUACAGAAGACCUAGCAGAGCUUAUUAGAAAACUUGGAGAGAAAUUAUCCUCAGAACCAAAGCAAGAAGAAAACAAUAGAUAAUGCAAAGAUUUCCUUAGAAAUUCAUAUUUAUUUAUCCACUUGAAGCCAUAUUAUUUUCUGAUUUUUUAAACUGCUAAUGAUAAAAAAGAAAAAGCUAAAUGAUAAUGGGUUACCCUAUCAUCUGGAACCCUAAUAUCUAAUAUUUUUGGUGAUUAAAUUUCAUUAUUUAGCCUAAAGAUAUGGAUUAUGAUGAAAAUUUUGUCCAGUUAUUUAGUAUUUGUUUUAUAAAUUGCUUUUUUGGGUGUCAUAUUGUGAUGAUAUGAUUGCCAGGUGGUAUUUCCUUAGAAUGGGUCUCAGACGCCAAGGAUCUGUUGAUCCACAUUAUUCCCUGUGUGAUUUUUCCUCCAAAGGUGGAGUCAGGUAUCUUCCUGGCUGCUUGGUGUGUUCCCUGUGGGCAACUUCCAGCCCUGAGAUGGGGGGAAAUAAUCUAUGGUCAUUUAAGGGAUACUAAUAGCUCCAAAGAAAAUGAUUAAUAUUAUUUCUGCAAAUUGGGCUUACAUCUGUUAAACUUUUUUAUUUAUCUCUUUGAAAACUUUACACUUAACCAUGAAAAGAUGUUUCCUCCACUUAACUCUGGAAACAUCAUCCAGUUGUGUGUGUAUGUGUGUGUGAAUGUGUGCAUACAUACACAUAAAAUGCUUGCCGUAUUUCUUUUGUAGCUAAUGUGAACACUCAAAACCACUUUAUGUUAUAAGAUAUUUUGGUGACUGAAAAAUUAACAUCCAAAUAAGAAACUUUUAUAGGAAAAGUAUCAAAGUCACAAACACUGUAGCUAUUUAGAACAGUUUUGUGCCAUUUCUGAGGGCAUUUACAGAAGAAUUUUCAUAUUUGGUCACUGAAUGUAAAGGGGAAAAAGUGAUGUGGGGAUUUGCAUAUGCCUGUUAUUCUCAAUAUGUUCUCCUCUCCUCCCCAAAUAUAUAAACAGGAAUUUCCAUUCACAUGCAUUCACCAAGAAGUUGUUGUUAUUAUUUACUAUUGAUGUGAGACAAUACUUUAAAUAACUAAAUAAGAGAAUGGAACUCCAUCUGUUUACCCAGACUAUUGACAUUCAGCUGAUUCUAGGCACCAGCCAGAAAUGCUGCUUUAUAUUCAGGAAAGGGAAGCCUCAAAUGCAAAUCUUUGACUUCAUCUCAAAAAUGAAAUAGUCACAGAAAAUCUGUUUAGUUUCAACUUUGGCUUAAUUUAAAUCAAAGAACUUUAUGUAACCAGAUUAGGAAAAAUAGUUGAAAUCUUAUAUGCAGUUUGUAUUUAUGGGUGUUACUUUUUAAGAAGAUGCUUGGUGAUACAAAGGUCCAUCUUCAAAUGUUGUGUGACAAUAUUAGAAUCAGCAGUUGUGGAAAAUCAAUCUCACAUGAGAUGCACUGUCAUCAAAUUAAAACAACCCAGUGUCCGUAAUGUUCUCGUGUGGGAUGGUGCAAGUAACAGGCCUGCAUGCCAAAGACUGCAGGAUGACCGCAAAUGGACUCGACUCCAGAAGACUAAAUACAUGCUCAGAUUUUUCAGUAUCGUUUUAGUUGGAUUGACUUGACAAUAUAGAAAUUUGUGGAAAUAUAACAAGCAUAACUGUGGGUUCUUCAGUAAGAAAUACUACUUCCAAGUUUCUCCUGCUUUUAUUCAGAAUUAAUGUCCUGAAGUUAGAGGAUUUUCCUCAGUGGGUGAAUGAAUUGGAGCCUGUUGUGAUUUCUCGUAAAUGGAAGAUGAAAAGAGAUACCAAAGUAUGUUAAAAAAACAUUUAAAAAUAUUCCAACAAGGGUUUAAUUAAAGGUAUAUUGCCAAAAGAUGGUCAUAAGUAUGAUAGAAACCUCAAGACCAGUGGUUUUAAUCCUUUAGAUAGCCUUACUUUUAAAGGAAGGCGACCAUAAGUUGAAAGGGUAUGAGCUGGUCCUUCCUGGCGGUUCAGGCAGCAUGAAGGCAGAGCUGAGAUAACUGCCAUUCUGAACACACAGCUUUCUCCCUUCUACUGAGCCCUGCCACUCCUCAUAGCUGAAGAGCACAACAAAACUGUACAUAAUGCCUGGCUUCACUCUUUCCUGCUCUCAUUACUUUGAAACUGAGAAAUAGCACAGAUUCAAUAUGAUUUUACUAGACAGAUACAAUAAAUUAUGAGAUUCCACUAUCUACUUAAAACCUCCAAACAAUGCAAAGAAUAGAAAAGAAGUAUCAAUUUGAAUGGAGAAAUGGGGCUUAAAAUAAUAAUGAAAAAUGCUUAUGGAGCAUCUGCUGUGAGCCAGGCACUGUGAUAAAUGUUGUCCAGGUGUUAUUAAUUUACUCUGACUUUACACUUUUGAAACCUGUAUGAGGUAAACAGUGUCAUUAUCCUCACUUUGGGAAUGAGACAACUAAGGAACUCAGAAGGUAAGUUACUUGUACAUGGAACAAGAGUCAGAGAAAGGAAUGAAACCUUGCUUACUCACAUGGACCACUGGUUCUGAUCCGCCAUACUGGAGCUCUUUGUUUCAUUGUGCAGCAUGUAUUCAAGCCUCUAAGUGAGGAAAAAUGGGCUGUACCUGAGCUGCAUAACUUCCCUUAUAUGUCUAGUCCAGUGGCAGACAGUAAUGCUAAGUGAGAAAGGAGAUAGGUAAAGAGAUUUGAUUUCAAAUGGAUUGUAAAUGUAAGGGAAGAAAAUAUCUAUUUUUUCCCAUCAUCUGAGGUUCCUGGCUAAGAUCUCUAUAACACAAAUCAGGUUAACAAGAGAAAAAUGUACAAAUUUAAUAUCAGUUUAUGUGACUUGGGAACUUUUCAGAAAUAAAGAAUCAAAGAAAUAGUUAAGCUUACAUAUGUUUAUGCAAGUUUGAUGAUGACUGUCAUGAGAUAUAACUAACUAUACAAGGGGGAUGGAUGGUUGAUCUAAUGGUAAUGCAUUGGGGGCCUGGUUUUUUAGGCUCUUCCUGUCUUCAGAUUCUUCAUGUUUUCAGAGAUAAGAAUGUUCCCUUUCUCUGGGUAUAGGAAGGGCACCUCUCAAAUGCAGGCCUUCUAUUCUACUUCAUGGGGAGGUCAGAACAUCCUUCCUAGGUUUAAUGACCCACUUCAGAGGAAAAGAGAGAU
rnacentral:lncRNA from 1 species